GGGUGCAAGCGUUAAUCGGAAUUACUGGGCGUAAAGCGCACGCAGGCGGUUUGUUAAGUCAGAUGUGAAAUCCCCGGGCUCAACCUGGGAACUGCAUCUGAUACUGGCAAGCUUGAGUCUCGUAGAGGGGGGUAGAAUUCCAGGUGUAGCGGUGAAAUGCGUAGAGAUCUGGAGGAAUACCGGUGGCGAAGGCGGCCCCCUGGACGAAGACUGACGCUCAGGUGCGAAAGCGUGGGGAGCAAACAGGAUUAGAUACCCUGGUAGUCCACGCCGUAAACGAUGUCGACUUGGAGGUUGUGCCCUUGAGGCGUGGCUUCCGGAGCUAACGCGUUAAGUCGACCGCCUGGGGAGUACGGCCGCAAGGUUAAAACUCAAAUGAAUUGACGGGGGCCCGCACAAGCGGUGGAGCAUGUGGUUUAAUUCGAUGCAACGCGAAGAACC
rnacentral:rRNA from 1 species